UACAGAGGUCUCAAGCGUUGUUCGGAAUUACUGGGCGUAAAGGGCGCGUAGGCGGCCCGCUAAGUCGAACGUGAAAUCCCCGGGCUCAACCCGGGAACUGCGUCCGAUACUGGUGGGCUCGAAUCCGGGAGAGGGAUGCGGAAUUCCAGGUGUAGCGGUGAAAUGCGUAGAUAUCUGGAGGAACACCGGUGGCGAAGGCGGCAUCCUGGACCGGUAUUGACGCUGAGGCGCGAAAGCCAGGGGAGCAAACGGG
rnacentral:rRNA from 1 species